rnacentral:tRNA from 1 species
GGGUGCGUCGCAUAGUGGCAAUUGCUCCAGACUGUAAAUCUGGCGGCCGGACGGCCUUCGAAGGUUCGAGUCCUUCCGCACCCA